AAUGAACGUUGGCGGCGUGGAUUAGGCAUGCAAGUCGUACGGCAAGGUUACUUAGCUUGCUUUGUAACCCUAGAGUGGCGUAAGGGAUAGUAUAAUGUAGAUAACAUACCCUUGGGUUCGGGAUAGCGUCUGGAAACGGACGGUAAUACCGAGUGACAUCUCCGGAUCAAAGGUGUGAUUCCACCUGAGGAGGGGGCCGCGUCCUAUUAGCUAGUUGGUGAGGUAACGGCUUACCAAGGCGAAGAUGGGUAUGGGAUGUGAGAGCAUGAUCCCACUCACUGGGACUGAGACACUGCCCAGACACCUACGGGUGGCUGCAGUCGAGAAUCUUCGGCAAUGGGGGCAACCCUGACCGAGCGACGCCGCGUGUGAGAUGAAGGCCUUCGGGUUGUAAAUCACUGUCAGUGGGGAGGAAAUGUUGGAGGGUUCUCCCUCCAAUUUGACCUAUCCGCAGAGGAAGGACGGGCUAAGUUCGUGCCAGCAGCCGCCGCAG
rnacentral:rRNA from 1 species